rnacentral:rRNA from 1 species
UACGUAGGGGGCUAGCGUUGUCCGGAUUUAUUGGGCGUAAAGAGCGUGUAGGCGGCUUGGCAAGUCUGCUGUGAAAACUCGAGGCUCAACCUCGAGCUGUCGGUGGAAACUGCUUGGCUAGAGUCCGGAAGAGGAGAGUGGAAUUCCUGGUGUAGCGGUGAAAUGCGCAGAUAUCGAGAGGAACACCGGUGGCGAAGGCGGCCAACUGGACAGAUACUGACGCUGAGACUCGAAAGCGUGGGGAGCAAACAGG